AUUGAACGCUGGUGGCAUGCCUUACACAUGCAAGUCGAACGGUAACAGGUCUUCGGAUGCUGACGAGUGGCGAACGGGUGAGUAAUACAUCGGAACGUGCCCGAUCGUGGGGGAUAACGCAGCGAAAGCUGUGCUAAUACCGCAUACGAUCUACGGAUGAAAGCGGGGGAUCGCAAGACCUCGCGCGGACGGAGCGGCCGAUGGCAGAUUAGGUAGUUGGUGGGAUAAAAAGCUUACCAAGCCGACGAUCUGUAGCUGGUCUGAGAGGACGACCAGCCACACUGGGACUGAGACACGGCCCAGACUCCUACGGGAGGCAGCAGUGGGGAAUUUUGGACAAUGGGGGAAACCCUGAUCCAGCCAUGCCGCGUGCAGGAUGAAGGCCUUCGGGUUGUAAACUGCUUUUGUACGGUAACGAAAAGGUACCUUUCUAAUAAAGAGGGCUCAUGACGGUACCGUAAGAAUAAGCACCGGCUAACUACGUGCCAGCAGCCGCGGU
rnacentral:rRNA from 1 species